rnacentral:lncRNA from 1 species
CUCUUAGACUUCUCAUGAAACCUAAGAUUGCAAAAAAGAGAAACAAGACAUUCAGCUGGUCACAGUCCACAACUUACGUCAAAAUUAAGCCUCCCUGAAAGAAACUUGGAGGCACUGGUGACAGGAUGAGUAUGAGAUGCAAAGGUCAGACUUUGAUAUCCAACACUGGUUGUAGGAGCAACAUGAAAACUGAGCACAUAUUGCCCAGAGGCUUCUGGAAAUACUUGGGCACAAUGUCAAGGAGCUGAGAAUGAUGAUAUGUAACAAAUUUUCUUAUGAUCAGAUUGAACACAACAUUUCUUCCAAAAAAAAUUAAGUCAUUGUGCAAAGAGCAGUCUGUCUAGCCAUUACCUUCACCAAAGCUAAUGCCAGACUGUGAUCUGAGGAAAAUGAA